UGCUGUGUAGGUCAUUAGACCACUGUUCAUUUAUAUGCAAUAAAAGGCAGAAACAGUCGACCUGGAAUUUAAAGGAGAAAAUGCUCUCCAUUAUCAGCCUCUAAAAACCAUCCCUUCUCCAUCCCCUCUCCACCUCGGUGGCUACCUCUUGGAAUGGGUGUCCAAGAUUCUUCUUAUGGCCAAGAGGCUACUGUACCUCUUAACCAAGGGGACCUUUUAUGAGACUGCCUUACCUCUACGAUGGACCAAUCUAUUAAUUUAGAUGUGGCCUCCAAACUAAC